rnacentral:rRNA from 1 species
UACGUAGGGGGCGAGCGUUGUCCGGAUUUAUUGGGCGUAAAGAGCUCGUAGGCGGUUCGUCGCGUCGGCUGUGAAAACCCGGAGCUCAACUCCGGGCCUGCAGUCGAUACGGGCGGACUUGAGUGUUGCAGGGGAGACUGGAAUUCCUGGUGUAGCGGUGAAAUGCGCAGAUAUCAGGAGGAACACCGGUGGCGAAGGCGGGUCUCUGGGCCGAUACUGACGCUGAGGAGCGAAAGCGUGGGGAGCGAACAGG